UACGUACGAGGCGAGCGUUAUCCGGAAUUACUGGCGUAAAGCGCGCGCAGGUGGCUUUUAAGUAGGGCGUGAAAUCGUCCCGGCCUAACUGGGAGGGUCGCUCUAGACUGGGAGCUUGAGGCUGGCAGAGGUAGGUGGAAGUUCCUGGUGUAGUGGUGAAAUGCGUAGAGAGUCAGGAGGAACACCGGUGGCGAAGGCGGCCU
rnacentral:rRNA from 1 species